ACCGGCUAACUACGUGCCAGCAGCCGCGGUAAUACGUAGGGUGCGAGCGUUAAUCGGAAUUACUGGGCGUAAAGCGUGCGCAGGCGGUUAUGUAAGACAGAUGUGAAAUCCCCGGGCUCAACCUGGGAACUGCGUUUGUGACUGCAUAACUAGAGUACGGCAGAGGGAGGUGGAAUUCCACGUGUAGCAGUGAAAUGCGUAGAGAUGUGGAGGAACACCGAUGGCGAAGGCAGCCUCCUGGGCCAGUACUGACGCUCAUGCACGAAAGCGUGGGGAGCAAACAGGAUUAGAUACCCUGGUAGUCCACGCCCUAAACGAUGUCAACUAGUUGUUCGGUGAGGAGACUCAUUGAGUAACGCAGCUAACGCGUGAAGUUGACCGCCUGGGGAGUACGGUCGCAAGAUUAAAACUCAAAUGAAUUGACGGA
rnacentral:rRNA from 1 species